CGCGGCCUAAAUGGCUGAACUCUGACCUCUGCCUUCCCAGCACUGCUGGGCUCCGCCAGCACCACGGGGCCUUGGUGCCAGCCACACACCCUAGGACCACCGAUGCGCCCUCCUAGCCCAGCGUUCCAGCCGCUCGCCAGAGCACGGCAUUCCGAGCCACUUGUCUUCAUUCUUCUGAUGUGGCCUUGGGGACAAGUGCUGAACUUCUGGUAACAAAAUUUGGCAUCCCUGGGUGGGCCCAUCAGUGCCCCAGUGGAAUGGCACCCUGCAACUGCUGGAAGAGAUCCUUGCCCCAAUUGGAGGUACCCCUCCACCCCUUUAAACCAGAAGACUGGGUGAUCUGAACAACAACUGGCAGAGAAGUCUAAGGGACCAUAUGAAGUGCCUCUAACAACUCAUACCUCAUUGAAAUUGUCAGGAAUAAAAACCUUAGGUCCAUCAUACCAGAGUGAAAAGGUGUCCCAUGGAAGAAGAGGACCUAAGACCCCAGUGGAUGGGCCAGUCUUUAGGCCUAAGGUUCCCAACCCCCAGGCUGUGGACCAGUGGCCUGUUAGGGACCCAUGGCCUGUUAGGGACUGGGUGGCAGAGC